GAAACCAUGACUUCACAGAUUCAGGAAGCACAGUGUAUCCAAAAAUGUACAUAAAAAACAUUUUAAAAUAUCUCUGUGUCUGGACGCAUUGUUGUGAAAACACUGAGCACUAAAGGAAAAGAGAAGGUCUUAAAAAUAUCCAGAGAGAAAGGACAAAGAAUGACAAGUCGAGUGUCAGUAGACUUCUCAAAAACGAAAAUACGAGCAGAAGAUAGUAAAACUCUUCAAAGUGCUGAAAGAAAAGUACUGUUAGUCUAGGCAGAACUAUCUUCAAGAACCAAGUAGAGAAUCGCAUGCAGAAAUAUGGUCGAGAAGGUUUUCUUCGCUUAACUUAUGUGCAACCCAAACAUCAAAGCGACUGACAUAACCAAGCUGGUGCAGAUGAUUUUCAACACUUGAUUUGGGUAUUUUGAGUAUGUCGGCUAUCUGCUGCGUGGUAUCACGUUGAUUGUUCUCAAUUAUUGUUUCGAUUUGAUCGCCAUCAACUUCAACUGGUCUACCCGAUCGUGGAGCAUCGUCCAGCAAGAAACCUCCAGCACGAAACUUCACAAAGCACUUGUGACAUGUUCGCUCAGUCACGGCACCUUCUCCAUACACUGCACAGAUCUUUUUUUUGCGUUUCAGUUGCAUUUUGACCUUCCUUGAAAUAAUAAAGCAUAAUGUGCUGAAAGUGUUGCUUUUUUUCUUCCAUCUUCAAUAUUAAAAUGGCUACAUGAAAAUUCA